UGGAGCCAUUCACCUUCACUCGCCUGAGGACUUCUGUGAACCUUCUUUGCCCUUCCAUUUCUAAAAAUAAGACUCAAAUUUAUACCAUGUAAGUACGAUUUUAGCCUUUCAAAGCUGGGAGAGGUUUCACCUUGCAAAUUCGUCACUUUACAGUUUUUGUUCGUUAAUAUAUAGCGAAAAUAAAUAAAUACAUAUCACCGAUUCGGGGCGAAACGCUGACGAAAUAUAAACUAGAUCAGUAUACGACAUUGCACUACGGAUGCAUUUACUAAAUUGAUUUCCACACAAAACUUCAGGAUUUCGAAUGGAUCUACGGCCAGGAACUAAAUGGGCAUGUUCAAAGUGCUCAAAAACGUUGAGCUCUAAGAGAAACUUAAACCUUCACAUGUUGACGCAUGACCCAGCUGCGAAGGUGAAGUGUGAGAUCUGCAGGAAAAUGCUUAAAAAUCAACAAACCUUAUCCAUCCACACAAAAAUGUCUCACACCAAGCGGGACCGACCACGUUGCGGCCUCUGUCACCGUGAAUUUUGCACAUCUGGAAAUUUACAGAGAUACAUUUUUAGCAAACACACCGCGCUGAAAUGGCCCCGUUUACCAUGUGGGUUUCCCGGAUGUGGAAAAACCUACUUAAACUCUGAAAGUGUAUCACAUCACUACACGUAAAAACUGAACACACCGAGAAUCCGACCCGAUUUCCGUGCACACUUUGCGGCUACACAUUUGGAAAAAUCAGCCCGAAGGAUUUUCAAGUGUGAACAUUGCUCUCAUAUUUCUUUAAGUAGACGUGACUUACGAAUGCAUAUCCGAAUUGUACAUGAAAAACAGAGGAAUCAUCAUUGCACAUUUUGUGACAAAAGCUUCUUGCGAUCAAGCGAUAUGAGGCUUCACCUGGAGGCACGACAUCCCGCGAAUAAGGAGAAGAUUCAUUCUUGUGAUCGAUGCGAAUUUAUGAGUCGCUCACAAAAAAGUUUAGCUAAACAUGUGAGGCGUCACAAUCCUGCGAAUCGACGAGAAUGCUACUUUUGCCAGAAGCAGUUUUUCUACUUCACCGAAUUAGUGAGACACUUCCAUCGUCAUGCCCUUGAAAUGUGACAAUCUUGGAAAUUUGGUGUUGUCUCAUUUUAUUUUAGGCUGGUGAGAAUUGUCUGUUUAUAAAAAUGCAAAAUAUAGAAAAACUAACAGCAUGAGAAAUGAAUAUUACAUAAUUAGCGAUUAUUAAUUACAUGGAGAUCCUGUCAAUUUACUAGGCAAUAUCCCCACCUUGUAAUUCCAUGCAUUUGUAAUUGUCGAUGAAAUUAUGUUAAAUUUUA